UGGCUCAGUGGUAGAGUGCGUGCCUUGCAUGCAUGAAGCCCUGGGUUCGAUUCCUCAG
rnacentral:tRNA from 1 species